UACGAAGGGGGCUAGCGUUGCUCGGAAUCACUGGGCGUAAAGGGUGCGUAGGCGGGUCUUAAGUCAGGGGUGAAAUCCUGGAGCUCAACUCCAGAACUGCCUUUGAUACUGAAGAUCUUGAGUUCGGGAGAGGUGAGUGGAACUGCGAGUGUAGAGGUGAAAUUCGUAGAUAUUCGCAAGAACACCAGUGGCGAAGGCGGCUCACUGGCUCGAUACUGACGCUGAGGUGCGAAAAGCGUGGGGGAGCAAACAGG
rnacentral:rRNA from 1 species